rnacentral:rRNA from 1 species
UCCUGGCUCAGGAUGAACGCUAGCUACAGGCUUAACACAUGCAAGUCGAGGGGCAGCAUGUUGGUUGCUGCAACCAAUGAUGGCGACCGGCGCACGGGUGAGUAACGCGUAUCCAACCUUCCCCUUAGUAGAGGAUAGCCCGGCGAAAGUCGGAUUAAUACUCUAUGUUCUUCAAUGCGGACAUCUAAGUUGAAGCAAAGAUUUAUCGCUAAGGGAUGGGGAUGCGUCUGAUUAGGUUGCAGGCGGGGUAACGGCCCACCUGGCCUACGAUCAGUAGGGGUUCUGAGAGGAAGGUCCCCCGCACUGGUACUGAGACACGGACCAGACUCCUACGGGAGGCAGCAGUGAGGAAUAUUGGUCAAUGGGCGCGAGCCUGAACCAGCCAAGUAGCGUGCAGGGAACCGACUGCCCUAUGGGUUGUAAACUGCUUUUAUCAGGGAAUAAAGUGAGGCACGCGUGCCUUUUUGUAUGUACCUGAUGAAUAAGGACCGGCUAAUUCCGUGCCAGCAGCCGC